rnacentral:rRNA from 1 species
UUAAGCGACUAAGCGUACACGGUGGAUGCCCUGGCAGUCAGAGGCGAUGAAGGACGUGCUAAUCUGCGAUAAGCGUCGGUAAGGUGAUAUGAACCGUUAUAACCGGCGAUUUCCGAAUGGGGAAACCCAGUGUGUUUCGACACACUAUCAUUAACUGAAUCCAUAGGUUAAUGAGGCGAACCGGGGGAACUGAAACAUCUAAGUACCCCGAGGAAAAGAAAUCAACCGAGAUUCCCCCAGUAGCGGCGAGCGAACGGGGAGCAGCCCAGAGCCUGAAUCAGUAUGUGUGUUAGUGGAAGCGUCUGGAAAGGCGCGCGAUACAGGGUGACAGCCCCGUACACAAAAAUGCACAUAUUGUGAGCUCGAUGAGUAGGGCGGGACACGUGGUAUCCUGUCUGAAUAUGGGGGGACCAUCCUCCAAGGCUAAAUACUCCUGACUGACCGAUAGUGAACCAGUACCGUGAGGGAAAGGCGAAAAGAACCCCGGCGAGGGGAGUGAAAAAGAACCUGAAACCGUGUACGUACAAGCAGUGGGAGCACGCUUAGGCGUGUGACUGCGUACCUUUUGUAUAAUGGGUCAGCGACUUAUAUUCUGUAGCAAGGUUAACCGAAUAGGGGAGCCGAAGGGAAACCGAGUCUUAACUGGGCGUUAAGUUGCAGGGUAUAGACCCGAAACCCGGUGAUCUAGCCAUGGGCAGGUUGAAGGUUGGGUAACACUAACUGGAGGACCGAACCGACUAAUGUUGAAAAAUUAGCGGAUGACUUGUGGCUGGGGGUGAAAGGCCAAUCAAACCGGGAGAUAGCUGGUUCUCCCCGAAAGCUAUUUAGGUAGCGCCUCGUGAAUUCAUCUCCGGGGGUAGAGCACUGUUUCGGCAAGGGGGUCAUCCCGACUUACCAACCCGAUGCAAACUGCGAAUACCGGAGAAUGUUAUCACGGGAGACACACGGCGGGUGCUAACGUCCGUCGUGAAGAGGGAAACAACCCAGACCGCCAGCUAAGGUCCCAAAGUCAUGGUUAAGUGGGAAACGAUGUGGGAAGGCCCAGACAGCCAGGAUGUUGGCUUAGAAGCAGCCAUCAUUUAAAGAAAGCGUAAUAGCUCACUGGUCGAGUCGGCCUGCGCGGAAGAUGUAACGGGGCUAAACCAUGCACCGAAGCUGCGGCAGUGACACUAUGUGUUGUUGGGUAGGGGAGCGUUCUGUAAGCCUGUGAAGGUGUGCUGUGAGGCAUGCUGGAGGUAUCAGAAGUGCGAAUGCUGACAUAAGUAACGAUAAAGCGGGUGAAAAGCCCGCUCGCCGGAAGACCAAGGGUUCCUGUCCAACGUUAAUCGGGGCAGGGUGAGUCGACCCCUAAGGCGAGGCCGAAAGGCGUAGUCGAUGGGAAACAGGUUAAUAUUCCUGUACUUGGUGUUACUGCGAAGGGGGGACGGAGAAGGCUAUGUUGGCCGGGCGACGGUUGUCCCGGUUUAAGCGUGUAGGCUGGUUUUCCAGGCAAAUCCGGAAAAUCAAGGCUGAGGCGUGAUGACGAGGCACUACGGUGCUGAAGCAACAAAUGCCCUGCUUCCAGGAAAAGCCUCUAAGCAUCAGGUAACAUCAAAUCGUACCCCAAACCGACACAGGUGGUCAGGUAGAGAAUACCAAGGCGCUUGAGAGAACUCGGGUGAAGGAACUAGGCAAAAUGGUGCCGUAACUUCGGGAGAAGGCACGCUGAUAUGUAGGUGAAGUCCCUCGCGGAUGGAGCUGAAAUCAGUCGAAGAUACCAGCUGGCUGCAACUGUUUAUUAAAAACACAGCACUGUGCAAACACGAAAGUGGACGUAUACGGUGUGACGCCUGCCCGGUGCCGGAAGGUUAAUUGAUGGGGUCAGCGCAAGCGAAGCUCUUGAUCGAAGCCCCGGUAAACGGCGGCCGUAACUAUAACGGUCCUAAGGUAGCGAAAUUCCUUGUCGGGUAAGUUCCGACCUGCACGAAUGGCGUAAUGAUGGCCAGGCUGUCUCCACCCGAGACUCAGUGAAAUUGAACUCGCUGUGAAGAUGCAGUGUACCCGCGGCAAGACGGAAAGACCCCGUGAACCUUUACUAUAGCUUGACACUGAACAUUGAGCCUUGAUGUGUAGGAUAGGUGGGAGGCUUGGAAGUGUGGACGCCAGUCUGCAUGGAGCCGACCUUGAAAUACCACCCUUUAAUGUUUGAUGUUCUAACGUUGACCCGUGAUCCGGGUUGCGGACAGUGUCUGGUGGGUAGUUUGACUGGGGCGGUCUCCUCCUAAAGAGUAACGGAGGAGCACGAAGGUUGGCUAAUCCUGGUCGGACAUCAGGAGGUUAGUGCAAUGGCAUAAGCCAGCUUGACUGCGAGCGUGACGGCGCGAGCAGGUGCGAAAGCAGGUCAUAGUGAUCCGGUGGUUCUGAAUGGAAGGGCCAUCGCUCAACGGAUAAAAGGUACUCCGGGGAUAACAGGCUGAUACCGCCCAAGAGUUCAUAUCGACGGCGGUGUUUGGCACCUCGAUGUCGGCUCAUCACAUCCUGGGGCUGAAGUAGGUCCCAAGGGUAUGGCUGUUCGCCAUUUAAAGUGGUACGCGAGCUGGGUUUAGAACGUCGUGAGACAGUUCGGUCCCUAUCUGCCGUGGGCGCUGGAGAACUGAGGGGGGCUGCUCCUAGUACGAGAGGACCGGAGUGGACGCAUCACUGGUGUUCGGGUUGUCAUGCCAAUGGCACUGCCCGGUAGCUAAAUGCGGAAGAGAUAAGUGCUGAAAGCAUCUAAGCACGAAACUUGCCCCGAGAUGAGUUCUCCCUGACUCCUUGAGAGUCCUGAAGGAACGUUGAAGACGACGACGUUGAUAGGCCGGGUGUGUAAGCGCAGCGAUGCGUUGAGCUAACCGGUACUAAUGAACCGUGAGGCUUAACCUU